UUUUAUGGAGAGUUUGAUCCUGGCUCAGGAUGAACGCUGGCGGCGUGCCUAAUACAUGCAAGUCGAGCGAACGGACGAGAAGCUUGCUUCUCUGAUGUUAGCGGCGGACGGGUGAGUAACACGUGGAUAACCUACCUAUAAGACUGGGAUAACUUCGGGAAACCGGAGCUAAUACCGGAUAAUAUUUUGAACCGCAUGGUUCAAAAGUGAAAGACGG
rnacentral:rRNA from 1 species